rnacentral:rRNA from 1 species
AGAUAGAAAGGUUAACUUCGGUUACAUCGGUGACAGGUGGUGCAUGGUUGUCGUCAGCUCGUGUCGUGAGAUGUUGGGUUAAGUCCCGCAACGAGCGCAACCCUACUGUUAGUUGCCAUCAUUCAGUUGGGCACUCUAGCGAGACUGCCGGUAAUAAACCGGAGGAAGUGGGGAUGACGUCAAAUCAUCAUGCCCCUUAUGACCUGGGCUACACACGUGCUACAAUGGUUGGUACAACGAGUUGCAAGUCGGUGACGGCGAGCUAAUCUCUUAAAGCCAAUCUCAGUUCGGAUUGUAGGCUGCAACUCGCCUACAUGAAGUCGGAAUCGCUAGUAAUCGCGGAUCAGCACGCCGCGGUGAAUACGUUCCCGGGCCUU